ACAAACUAGUACAAAGAUACCGGGUGAAGUAUUUUGGUUUUUGAUUGAAUCACAGGUCUCCGGACCGUGCUCUCUCGGGCUCCGUGCUUAUGUGUUUAAAAAUCUCUUAAACCAUAUUAAAAUUGUUUAGUUAAACUUGUGCUUUUGUAACGUUCAGUAUGGCCGGAAAUACAGGCUGCAUGCCUUGGGGCAAAACUUUAUUUCGAUUUAUAUGCAUUUGUAGAUUUAGAAUAAAACUCAUACUCAGAAAAAAACUCUCGCGAUCCCCGCAGCCCCCUUAACCUAAUCCUUAGAAACAUAAGCAGGGAAAACUCCUUAAAAACUCCUCCGCGAUUUCCCCAAAAACCCUAGAAUAACUUGUUAGCUACCCUCUAUUCCCAAAAGCCUUAUAAUCCAAAACAGGGGGAAAACUCCUUAGUCUUUUUUCUUCAAAAACUUCCCUCUUACUAGCAACCUCUAAAAUUCAACGCACAGUCUAAGUUCUACCUCGCUCUUAAUCGCCGACCCUUCCAGAGCAGAGCACAAUUUUUUCCUCCUUGUUCGUUCCCCGCUCUGCUCCUAAAUGCGCUGCUUACAUCGUUUGAAAAUUUUCCGCCAGAGACCAACUCCCCCUCACUUCGCCCCCUGCCAAUCACAUAACAAAUCGCACAGCUCCCUUCGCACCCCGGUUAGCCAAUCGGCUCCAGGUCUGAUUUUACGAUCUCCCGCUGAGGUUAAGACUGCCGUCGAGCUCCCAGAAGACCUCUGACUUGAGACGUAUCAACAACUGGCGCCGCUCAGACUGCUUGCGGGCUCGCAACAGCCACGAAAACAGGGAUCGACAACAACUGCCUUCGCAUGCCCUAUGUGCAAAUCAGUCGACUCUGAGAUAAGCGAGCUCAAUUCCUCUCUUUUUGGUUCUCUCGAUCGAGUUGAUAUCUCAGACUUGGACAGCUUUAUUUUUUUCGAGUUCGCCGAAUUCUUCUCCACCAGUGCUUGAGCGAUCCACAGGCAAGAAUAUUCGUCUUUCAACACAGGACAGACUGCAUCUGCUCUCUAUGCUAGAUCGCCCCGCUUCAUCCGGCCCCAGUUCCAUCCCCGUCGGAGCUUGUUCUCUCCAGCGACCCUCUGGGAAAAACUUGCGCCUGGCCGCCGGGGACAGGCAAAACUCGCUCUCCGAUCUCACUCCGGAUGCUCCGGCCAAUCGGAGCCCCAGAAACGCUUCUUCUUCUCCGCCAUCACACACACGAAAUGCACCGCGCCUGCCUUUGAGACCCAAUCACGGGCAUCUCAGAAGGAGGAAUAGCAGGACCGGUAGGAUCGCAAGGACAACGAGGACAACGAGGACAAGGCGAACACGCACACGAAGGCAGCUCGCUUCAAUUGCUCUUCGUGCGGUAUCUCUGUUCGCUGAAUUAGUUCAGCUCAUCUUAUAAAAAGUUUGUGUUUUUUUUUUUCAUUUUGUUUUUUCAAACAAACUGUCUUUUGUGGUUUUUUGUUCUUUUAAUAUAUUCCUGUUAAGCAAUAAUAAUAAAAAAUGGAUAACCAGGAACAAGAUAUUACAGACCCAUUUCUUGCUUUAGAAACAGCGUUAGCUAGGUUAAAUGAAAAUACACAGCUCAGGAGGGCGAAGCUGGAGCUGCCCGCACCAGGUACUUCUGCACCAAACAAUCCAUUUUCUAUAAAUUAUCAAAAAGUCUGCUCUUCUCAAGUAAAUCAAUCUCCAGUUGGUUUUAAACUUGUG
ensembl:lncRNA